GAUGAACGCUGGCGGCGUGCCUAAUACAUGCAAGUCGAACGCAUAGCGAAAGGUGCUUGCACCUUUCAAGUGAGUGGCGAACGGGUGAGUAACACGUGGACAACCUGCCUCAAGGCUGGGGAUAACAUUUGGAAACAGAUGCUAAUACCGAAUAAAACUUAGUGUCGCAUGACACAAAGUUAAAAGGCGCUUCGGCGUCACCUAGAGAUGGAUCCGCGGUGCAUUAGUUAGUUGGUGGGGUAAAGGCCUACCAAGACAAUGAUGCAUAGCCGAGUUGAGAGACUGAUCGGCCACAUUGGGACUGAGACACGGCCCAAACUCCUACGGGAGGCUGCAGUAGGGAAUCUUCCACAAUGGGCGAAAGCCUGAUGGAGCAACGCCGCGUGUGUGAUGAAGGCUUUCGGGUCGUAAAGCACUGUUGUAUGGGAAGAACAGCUAGAAUAGGUAAUGAUUUUAGUUUGACGGUACCAUACCAGAAAGGGACGGCUAAAUACGUG
rnacentral:rRNA from 1 species